AGUCUCUUAAUUAGAGGCUGGUAUGAAUGGCGAGACGAGAAAAAAGCUGUCUCUAAAAUAUUUGUCGAAUUUCAUUUUUAAGUGAAAAAGCUUAAAUGCAUUUGGAGGACGAUCAGACCCUUUGGAGCUUUAUUUCAUUAAAGUUUUAGGUUAUUUUUAUAACAAAAAUUGUGAUGAAAUUUUGUUGGGGCGACAUAAAGUUAAAAGAUACCACUUUAUUUAAAAAACAUAAGUAGAUGGAAAAUUGAUCCCCCCUGGGGGAUUAGAAGACUAAGUUACCCUAGGGAUAACAGCGUAAUCUUUUUGGAGAGUUCUUAUCGAUAAAAAGGUUUGCGACCUCGAUGUUGGAUUAAGAAAUUAGCAAGGUGCAGAAGUUUUGCUGGAAAGUCUGUUCGACUUUUAAUUUCUUACAUGAUCU
rnacentral:rRNA from 1 species